rnacentral:pre_miRNA from 1 species
GUUACUCAAAUUUGUAUGGAGUUGAAACGUUUGCCUACGUUUGCCGCUAGGCGCUGUUCCAUUUCCAUACAAAUUCUCCAUA